GUGGGGAAUAUUGGGCAAUGGGGGAAACCCUGACCCAGCGACGCCGCGUGAGGGAAGAAGGCCUUAGGGUCGUAAACCUCUGUUGUGUGGGAAGAAGAGCGUGACGGUACCACACGAGGAAGUCCCGGCUAACUACGUGCCAGCAGCCGCGGUAAUACGUAGGGGACGAGCGUUGUCCGGAUUUACUGGGCGUAACGGGCGCGUAGGCGGUCAUUUAAGUCAGCUGUGAAAUGGUUUGGCUUAACCGGAUCAUGCGGUGGAAACUGGAUGACUGGAGUGCUGGAGAGGCAAGUGGAAUUCCCAGUGUAGCGGUGAAAUGCGUAGAUAUUGGGAAGAACACCGGUGGCGAAGGCGACUUGCUGGCCAGCAACUGACGCUGAGGCGCGAAAGCCAGGGGAGCAAACGGGAUUAGAAACCCGUGUAGUCC
rnacentral:rRNA from 1 species